CAACUAACUCGGUCGCUCCUCACCCUGCCUCUCUCCCUUCCCCGUCUCCUCCCUUUCGAGUACCGCCGCCACCGCUGCCGACCCAGCGCAACCAUCGCUCUCACGCGACUGCCCCACCAGCGCCGCCCUUGCCGCACUCCUUCGCCUGCGCCAACCACCGGCGCCAGUCAGCGCUUCGCUCGGCCUCCGCUCGCCAACGCUCCCAACCCACGUGCCCCGUCCCCGAGCGGCGCCGCCAUGGCAGACGAGGUGAAUCUCCCCGCCGCGGAGGUGGGGAAGAAGGCCGUGCAUCCGUCCGAUUCACCCAAGACACCGGCGAAUCGAGGCCUCCUUGGUGUCCUUGGGCUCCUUCCGCCGCCGGCAGCCUCAUACGCCAUGCUCCUGCCUGGCGUUCAGCCUUCCGCGUCGCGCUAGGAGGAGAGGUCGUCGGCGGCCGAUGCAGAGUCCCACGAGCUAUCAGACUGGAUCCCGGAAGCUGUCGAGCUGGGCAUCCCUGCGCCAGCGCCCUGCCCACGGCGGGCCGCAUCCUAAUUUCCCCGUUGGGAUCCCUUCUCAUACAUCCUCUUUCUUGCCACGAUCUGGCCCGCGCUCAACUGGGUCGGCAUCGGGCUGCUGGCCGUCGCCGACGAAUCGGGCGCUGAGGCUCCCGUAUGGCGAAGCUGCUGCGCAUGUCCUCGAUCUACGCGGACGGCUGCUAGCUCCGAGAGGUCAUGGGCGCCAUGUCCAUGGUCGAGGCCGUCAGACCUGAUGCGUUCAAGGCCGCCUCUGGCUCCCCAUCCAUCCACGACGCCACUUCACCACCAACGCAUGAUGGAUCCGACCGCUGCUCAGACCAGGAGCUUUUCGACCGGAUCUGCAGCGCCAUAAAAUUCAACGAGGAUGAGGAAAGGAUUUUAAUAAAUUAUGACCUCUUCUGAAAAGAAUUAUGUUUGUUUCGCCUUACCAGUUUGCUUCAGGCUCGAAAUGAAACAAUAACAUCAAGACGAGUUUUUUAAUCGACUGUUGGUUGGGUGAUCUACCCGCAGCAAAUGAGAACCUGGUGUGAAGAGGAGGCAGCGAGAGAUUGAAAGGGGAAGAUAGUGUGAGCGAGGAGGAAGAGCAGAACCACGGUGGUGCGCGCAUCUCCGAGUGGCCCUUGCGAUCGGAAAACCACCUCACAGAGUCAUCUUCCAAGCUUAUCUCCGCGAAAUGCCAACCUCCAUAGAAAAGUAAGACUAGAAGAAGAUCUGGGAGGACUUCCGCACCUAGACUGAUGUUUAGGUAAUACAAAUUCAUCGGGGAUGGUCCUUUUUAAUUUCUGAGCCAUUGAGCGAAUUGUUGAUCUCAUUUUAAUGCUUGAUGUGGUGCUUUUUAGUGUUUGUUACUGUAUUUGUAUUGUACGCAGAGCCGUAGGACAUCCAGGAGCUCUCGAGUGAGCAACCAAAUAUCACUGUAUGCAUCGAGCCCCUUCUCUGCUCCCGAGCGCAGACGGUGAACGCUGGCGGCGGCCAUGCCCCUUGUCCUCGUCCUUCUCCGUAAAGGCAUGCCAUGGCUGCCGCUACACAGCACGACGGCGGCAAGGAGGAGAACGCUCGAAGAAGAAGGGGCAGCGCUGAUACGUCCAAAACGUAUCUACUUUCCCGAACACUUUUGCUAUUAUUUUGCCUCUAAUUUGUGUAUUUUGGAUGCAACUAACACGGACUAACGCUGUUUUCAGCAGAACUGUUCUGGUGUCUCGUUUUUGUGCAGAAAUCCAACUUUCUGGAAAAUCCUCGGAAU